rnacentral:rRNA from 1 species
AUACGGAGGGUGCAAGCGUUGUCCGGAUUUAUUGGGUUUAAAGGGUGCGUAGGUGGUUUUUUAAGUCAGUGGUGAAAGCCUACAGCUUAACUGUAGAGGUGCCAUUGAUACUGGGGAACUUGAGUAUGGACGAGGUAGGCGGGAUUUGUGGUGUAGCGGUGAAAUGCAUAGAUACCACAAGGAACACCGAUAGCGAAGGCAGCUUACUGGGCCAUAACUGACACUGAGGCACGAAAGCGUGGGGAGCGAACAGGAUUAGAUACCCUUGUAGUCC